UACGAAGGGGGCUAGCGUUGCCCGGAAUUACUGGGCGUAAAGGGCGCGUAGGCGGCACUGUUAGUCAGGCGUGAAAGUCCUGGGCUCAACCUGGGAACUGCGCUUGAUACGGCAGAGCUAGAGGAUGGAAGAGGCUCGCGGAAUUCCCAGUGUAGAGGUGAAAUUCGUAGAUAUUGGGAAGAACACCGGUGGCGAAGGCGGCGAGCUGGUCCAUUACUGACGCUGAGGCGCGACAGCGUGGGGAGCAAACAGG
rnacentral:rRNA from 1 species